UCUGCGCCCUGAGCCCCACAGCGGGCGGAGCCGCAUCCCCGGCGCUACAAGAAGGGAGAGAGGGCGGAAGGCUGGUGGGGGGGAGGCUGUUUCUCUACCCGCCUAUUCUCUGAAUAAGAAGAUGAUUUUAUGCUGCGAAAUGCUUUGCCCCUUGGCUUUACAGCUCUGCCUGCUGCUUGGGCGCCCAGGAAUGAUUCGGGCGGAUUCUGUGUCUCAGUCUCCCGGGGAGGUGACAAUCUCGGAGGGACAGGACGCGCUAUUGCACUGCAAUUUCACCACCAUUUCUACAAGCCCGACUCUCUUCUGGUACCGCCAAUAUCCGAAUCAGGAGCCCCAGCACGUCCUGACCGCGUACAAAUCCGCUGAUGCGCAGAACACGUUCGCCGCCGAGCGACUCUCCGCGGUGCUGUUCGACCAGAACCGGACGGUUCCCCUGCGGGUGGCGGCCGCGUCGCUCCCGGACGGGGCGGUGUAUCUCUGCGCCCUGAGACCCACAGCGGGCGGAGCCGCAUCCCCGGCGCUACAAGAAUCUAGCGAGGUGGCUGCGCUCCCCUCUGGGGGCAGAAGCGGGUUUGUGCCCGGGCCUUUUCAUGCCGCUUCCCUGCCCGGUUCAGUCCCUCUGAUCACCCCCAGCCUGGGAGGAUCCGCGCGUUUCACUCUCCCCAUGUAGUCUGAAAUGUCCGUCCGUCCGUGUGUGUGUGUGUACAUGUGGUGUGUGUGUAUGUGUGUGUCUGUGAAGAUGUGGUCUGUAUGUGUAUGGAGAUGUGUGCAGGGUGGCUCUUUGUGCGCGUGUGUGUUUGUGUGUGUGUAGAUGCGGGAGACGUUUGUGA